rnacentral:lncRNA from 1 species
CCUUGCUCCUUUUAUGCACAGAACACUCCCCUAGGGCACAUUUCACCUGUGAAGCAGGAGAAGAGGCGUUAAUUGGGAAGCAGUGUUUUGCGGCAAAUCCGGAGUCAAAAUGAUCUUUCAGAGACAGAAGAGUUGGGUAAAAUAAAAAAGUUUAUUGCCAGGCCAUGGCCAGCCUCAGGAAACGAGUCCUUAUAGACGGACCUUGAGCUAAGACAAUUUCUCCUUUUUAUACCUUGCUCACAGCCUACAGGGUGGCUCAAGUUGCAGUCAUACAGAAUAUAGCAAGGACGCGGUAAAGUGGCAUGAGGCGAUUUUCCAUGGUUUCAAGGUUGGGGGCUUACAUAAACAAAUUUCAAGGCUGCUUUCUAAUCUUUCUGGGAACAGGCUGCCCCACAAGAAGAGGAAGGCCCACCGGAGUUUCCAAAUAGGGACAAGUUGGCACAGACAGGGUUUUAGGGGUGGCUCACACAAAGUACAUAAACAGUGCAUUAUUGUUACAUUAAGCUGACACAGUUCAUGAACAAAUAUUUUACAGUAAUUAUCCAUUCCAAAUUAUGUUUGGCAUAACUCUUUCUACCUCAUUCCUCCCUGUUGUUACAUCAAACAGAAUCUUCAUUGAUUUGAACAGGACAAACAUAAUGGGUCUUUGCUCACAUUAGCAUUUGAUAUAUGUUGCACCCAGUGAGAAAGAACCAACCAGAGACUGAUAUUAAAUCCACACAGGAGUUUAUUACUGGCUGGGACCCGAGCUGAGCAUUGGACUCCAGCCUUGACUGGGGGGAGACAAACAUGUCUUAUACACCUUUGAGGCCAGCAGUUUCUAGGCCUCCCUAUGGGAUAGAACUAGUAAAGCAAACAAAAGGUACAGAAGCAGACCGUCCUGCUGUUAGAACAUUUGUAAAACAAUAGUUGAUUAAUUGUUAUUUCUAAAGAGACUUUCUAAAGGGAGGAGGUUUUUAAGCUUCCUCCUCUGAGUUCAUCUAAAGGGCAGCCAGGUGGGUCAAGCAGCAAUAUGGAGCCUGUCUUGCUAAGGAGGGUCCUUCAAUAUGAUUGUGUGGAAUGGAUUCUUUCCAGUAUAAAUUUGGACAUCUAAUUAACUAAACAUGGUCCUACAGUCACCAGGAGUAUUAUCACCAUUUUGGGUCCCAUCAGAACCCCUAACCAUGCUUUUCAUCUAGAGAACUGCCAACUCCACAAGGGGUUGGUAUCCUAGGAACCAUACUUAGUUUCCAUCCACUUUAACCUUUCUUUCAGUUGGGUCAUGGAUUCCCUGACUACUCCUGACUGAUUUGCACAAUAAGAACAUUCUUCCCCU